CUAGCAACCCCACCCCUGUGCUGAUUGGGAACCAGAAGUCACCUCAGGGACAGAGACCGAGGCAAGGUCAAAGUGCAUAGGGCACCCUAGAGCCGGCUCUUGUUCCUCCGCUCCGACAGAACUUCUUCAAAAAGACUUUUGGCCACAGGGACGCGACCGCGAACGCUUGGUCCCAGGCUUCUGACUUGAGUUUAGCAUGACUGCUUAAGUUAUUAUGCAACUUUAGCAUGGCGUCUCCAGGAAAUAAAAGGUGGCCUCAUACAAGCAUCAGUCACAGUACAGCCUGUUUCCAGAUACAGGAAGAGACUGAGAAGCGGGUGGGUAAGAAACGACCCUGCACCGGGGCCAUGGCUUAAUAAACUGUUUGCCUGCAAGCUUGAAGACCUGAGCUCCUGAGAUCAGCUACUCCGCACCGCUUAUAAGGUCUGACUGACCACCAAGGGUGGUGAUGCCGGUCUCAGUUGGGUAUCCUGGUCUACAUAGGAAUUCCAGGUCAGCCUCGUCUGCAGAAUGAGAUACUUUCCCCUCUGCCCCACUGAGACAGGGUUUCUCUGUAUAACAUCCCUGGUCUGUCCUGGAACUCGCUCUGUAGACCAGGUUGACGUCGAACUCACAGAGAUCUGUCUGCCUCUGCCAACUGAGUGCUGCGAUUAAAGGUGUGUGACACCAGCGCCUGUCAGGAGAUACUUUCUUAAAAAAAGGGGGGGGGGGUGGCAUGUGCCUCAUGGUAUGGCAAAGAAAGGAGAAUCACAAGCAGCCUACCCAAAUCAAUGAGUACCAGGUUCGGUGCCUCCAAAAAUAAACGGAUUGCAGAUGACACGUCCGGCAAUGAUCUCUGGCUUCCACACACAUGUGCACCAACAGAUGUGCAUUGCACACAUAAACAAAUGGUCUUCCACCAGGUGUGGCCUGUCAUGCCUGCCCUUGGGAGGAGGAGGCAGGAGGGUCAAUAGUUUAAGGCCAGAGUCCACUGCCUAGUGAAUUAUAUAGAUCAAUCGGACUGUGUGAGAUACUUUGCGGGGGUGGGGUGGGGGCUUUGAGUCAUGUAUAUUUGGAAUUAAAAUUUUCGUUCUGCCAACUAUUUGUUACAAUCAUACUCAUCGAGGAAGUUGAUUUAUAUAAUAAAGUAGCAAUAUAUAAA